CAUUAAUGAUAUAUGAACUUUCAAUUCAUAAAUCCAACCUGCGUACCUGUCCUUGUUGCUUCCGUAAGUUUGAUGACUUUGGUCGUCAUUCCUCAUUCCAGAGGGAGCUUGCGGGAGGAUUUGUUCAAUUCGUGCUUUAUCUGAGUAGUCUGAAGCUUUUGCAUUUGCAAAUCGUUAAAACUUUCAACAACGGAUCUCUUGGUUCUCGCAUCGAUGAAGAGCGCAGCGAAAUGCGAUAAGUAGUGUGAAUUGCAGAAUUCCGUGAAUCAUCGAGUUCUUGAACGCAUAUUGCGCCCCUUGGUAUUCCAAAGGGCAUGCCUGUUCGAGUGUUAUUAAAUCCCCUCAGGUUUGGAUUAUUCCACUCCCUGGUGUUGAGUUCGGAGCACGAAUGCACUGUUCCUACUCGAAAUAGAACGGCGCAAAAGGAUUGUCAAUUCUGUGUAAUAAGUUUUCCAAUUCUCAAAUUGAUCCAUCUGUCUUGCGGUUCCAAUAUGCACACGCUCCUCGUACCUAUAACCUCGAAUCAGGUAAGGAUACCCGCUGAACUUAAGCAUAUCCUUUUGCGCCGUUCUAUUUC
rnacentral:rRNA from 1 species